rnacentral:rRNA from 1 species
CAUAUCAUAGCGGAGGAAAAGAAACUAACAAGGAUUCCCCUAGUAACUGCGAGUGAAGCGGGAAGAGCUCAAAUUUAAAAUCUGGCGGUCUCUGGCCGUCCGAGUUGUAAUCUAGAGAAGUGCUGCCCGCGCUGGACCGUGUACAAGUCUCCUGGAAUGGAGCGUCAUAGAGGGUGAGAAUCCCGUCUCUGACACGGACUACCAGGGCUUUGUGGUACGCUCUCAAAGAGUCGAGUUGUUUGGGAAUGCAGCUCAAAAUGGGUGGUAAAUUCCAUCUAAAGCUAAAUAUUGGCGAGAGACCGAUAGCGAACAAGUACCGUGAGGGAAAGAUGAAAAGAACUUUGGAAAGAGAGUUAAACAGUACGUGAAAUUGCUGAAAGGGAAACGCUUGAAGUCAGUCGCGUUGGCCGGGGAUCAGCCUCGCUUUUGCGUGGUGUAUUUUCUGGUUGACGGGUCAGCAUCAAUUUUGACCGCUGGAAAAAGGCUUGGGGAAUGUGGCAGCUUCGGCUGUGUUAUAGCCCCUUGUCACAUACAGCGGUUGGGAUUGAGGAACUCAGCACGCCGCAAGGCCGGGUUUCGACCACGUUCGUGCUUAGGAUGCUGGCAUAAUGGCUUUAAGCGACCCGUCUUGAAACACGGACCAAGGAGUCUAACAUGCCUGCGAGUGUUUGGGUGGAAAACCCGAGCGCGUAAUGAAAGUGAAAGUUGAGAUCCCUGUCGUGGGGAGCAUCGACGCCCGGACCAGAACUUUUGGGACGGAUCCGCGGUAGAGCAUGUAUGUUGGGACCCGAAAGAUGGUGAACUAUGCCUGAAUAGGGUGAAGCCAGAGGAAACUCUGGUGGAGGCUCGUAGCGAUUCUGACGUGCAAAUCGAUCGUCAAAUUUGGGUAUAGGGC